CCAGUAGUCAUAUGCUUGUCUCAAAGAUUAAGCCAUGCAUGUCUAAGUAUAAGCACUUUAUACUGUGAAACUGCGAAUGGCUCAUUAAAUCAGUUAUCGUUUAUUUGAUAGUACCUUACUACAUGGAUACCUGUGGUAAUUCUAGAGCUAAUACAUGCUGAAAACCUCGACUUCGGAAGGGGUGUAUUUAUUAGAUAAAAAACCAAUGCCCUUCGGGGCUCCUUGGUGAAUCAUAAUAACUUAACGAAUCGCAUGGCCUUGCGCCGGCGAUGGUUCAUUCAAAUUUCUGCCCUAUCAACUUUCGAUGGUAGGAUAGUGGCCUACCAUGGUGGCAACGGGUAACGGGGAAUUAGGGUUCGAUUCCGGAGAGGGAGCCUGAGAAACGGCUACCACAUCCAAGGAAGGCAGCAGGCGCGCAAAUUACCCAAUCCCGACACGGGGAGGUAGUGACAAUAAAUACUGAUACGGGGCUCUUUUGGGUCUCGUAAUUGGAAUGAGUACAAUCUAAAUCCCUUAACGAGGAACAAUUGGAGGGCAAGUCUGGUGCCAGCAGCCGCGGUAAUUCCAGCUCCAAUAGCGUAUAUUAAAGUUGUUGCAGUUAAAAAGCUCGUAGUUGAACCUUGGGUCUGGCUGGCCGGUCCGCCUCACCGCGAGUACUGGUCCGGCUGGACCUUUCCUUCUGGGGAAUCUCAUGGCCUUCACUGGCUGUGGGGGGGAACCAGGACUUUUACUGUGAAAAAAUUAGAGUGCUCAAAGCAGGCCUUUGCUCGAAUACAUUAGCAUGGAAUAAUAGAAUAGGACGUGCGGUUCUAUUUUGUUGGUUUCUAGGACCGCCGUAAUGAUAAUAGGGAUAGUCGGGGGCGUCAGUAUUCAGCUGUCAGAGUGAAAUUCUUGGAUUUGCUGAAGACUAACUACUGCGAAGCAUUCGCCAAGGUGUUUUUCAUUAAUCAGGGACGAAAGAUUAGGGGAUCCUAGGACGAUCAGAUUACCGGUCGGUAGUCU
rnacentral:rRNA from 1 species